AACACAUGCAAGUCGAGGGGCAGCAGUAGAAGUAGCAAUACUUGGUGGCGACCGGCGCACGGGUGAGUAACGCGUAUGCAACCUACCUAUCAGGAGGGGAAUAACCCGGCGAAAGUCGGACUAAUACCGCAUAAAACAGGGGCACCGCAUGGUGAUAUUGUUAAAGAAAUUCGCUGAUAGAUGGGCAUGCGUUCCAUUAGGUAGUUGGUGAGGUAACGGCUCACCAAGCCGACGAUGGAUAGGGAACUGAGAGGUUGGUCCCCCACACUGGUACUGAGACACGGACCAGACUCCUACGGGAGGCAGCAGUGAGGAAUAUUGGUCAAUGGGCGGGAGCCUGAACCAGCCAAGUCGCGUGAAGGAAGAAGGAUCUAUGGUUCGUAACUUCUUUUGCAGGGGAAUAAAGUGCAGGACGUGUCCUGUUUUGUAUGUACCCUGAGAAUAAGGAUCGGCUAACUCCGUGCCAGCCGCCGC
rnacentral:rRNA from 1 species